UACAGAGGGGGCGAGCGUUGUUCGGAAUUACUGGGCGUAAAGGGCGCGUAGGCGGCCCGCUAAGUCAGACGUGAAAUCCCCCGGCUCAACCGGGGAACUGCGUCUGGGACUGGUGGGCUCGAAUCCGGGAGAGGGAUGCGGAAUUCCAGGUGUAGCGGUGAAAUGCGUAGAUAUCAGAAGGAACACCGGCGGCGAAGGCGACUCUCUGGUCCAUAACUGACGCUGAGUGUGCGAAAGCUAGGGGAGCAAA
rnacentral:rRNA from 1 species